AGCCCAGAGCCUGAAUCAGUGUGUGUGUUAGUGGAAGCGUCUGGAAAGGCGCGCGAUACAGGGUGACAGCCCCGUACACAAAAAUGCACAUGCUGUGAGCUCGAUGAGUAGGGCGGGACACGUGGUAUCCUGUCUGAAUAUGGGGGGACCAUCCUCCAAGGCUAAAUACUCCUGACUGACCGAUAGUGAACCAGUACCGUGAGGGAAAGGCGAAAAGAACCCCGGCGAGGGGAGUGAAAAAGAACCUGAAACCGUGUACGUACAAGCAGUGGGAGCACGCUUAGGCGUGUGACUGCGUACCUUUUGUAUAAUGGGUCAGCGACUUAUAUUCUGUAGCAAGGUUAACCGAAUAGGGGAGCCGAAGGGAAACCGAGUCUUAACUGGGCGUUAAGUUGCAGGGUAUAGACCCGAAACCCGGUGAUCUAGCCAUGGGCAGGUUGAAGGUUGGGUAACACUAACUGGAGGACCGAACCGACUAAUGUUGAAAAAUUAGCGGAUGACUUGUGGCUGGGGGUGAAAGGCCAAUCAAACCGGGAGAUAGCUGGUUCUCCCCGAAAGCUAUUUAGGUAGCGCCUCGUGAAUUCAUCUCCGGGGGUAGAGCACUGUUUCGGCAAGGGGGUCAUCCCGACUUACCAACCCGAUGCAAACUGCGAAUACCGGAGAAUGUUAUCACGGGAGACACACGGCGGGUGCUAACGUCCGUCGUGAAGAGGGAAACAACCCAGACCGCCAGCUAAGGUCCCAAAGUCAUGGUUAAGUGGGAAACGAUGUGGGAAGGCCCAGACAGCCAGGAUGUUGGCUUAGAAGCAGCCAUCAUUUAAAGAAAGCGUAAUAGCUCACUGGUCGAGUCGGCCUGCGCGGAAGAUGUAACGGGGCUAAACCAUGCACCGAAGCUGCGGCAGCGACGCUUAUGCGUUGUUGGGUAGGGGAGCGUUCUGUAAGCCUGUGAAGGUGUGCUGUGAGGCAUGCUGGAGGUAUCAGAAGUGCGAAUGCUGACAUAAGUAACGAUAAAGCGGGUGAAAAGCCCGCUCGCCGGAAGACCAAGGGUUCCUGUCCAACGUUAAUCGGGGCAGGGUGAGUCGACCCCUAAGGCGAGGCCGAAAGGCGUAGUCGAUGGGAAACAGGUUAAUAUUCCUGUACUUGGUGUUACUGCGAAGGGGGGACGGAGAAGGCUAUGUUGGCCGGGCGACGGUUGUCCCGGUUUAAGCGUGUAGGCUGGUUUUCCAGGCAAAUCCGGAAAAUCAAGGCUGAGGCGUGAUGACGA
rnacentral:rRNA from 1 species